UGUUUAAUUAGUUCUCAUCUUGUAUAGUCUUAGGGGAAUUAAAUCAAUGUAUAGUAGCUUUUAUUGGCAUGUGGUACAAAUUUGUACAGGCCAGGUUUAAUUUUACAAUGAAAACAACAAAAAAAAAAAAAAAAAAAAACCCAAACCAAACAACAAAAAUACUACAGACACAAAUAGAACAGGAAGUUGAAAACAAAGUACUAAUCUCAGAGAACUUUUAUGUACUGAACAUGCUGAAAGUGAGAUCAAAACCAAUAAAAAGAAAUUAUGUAUCUUAAUUAAGACUUAAAAAUCAAUCAGUUCACAUCCAAUGGAUUUAGUUUGAAAAUGUU
rnacentral:lncRNA from 1 species